GGGCCCGUAGCUCAGGCUGGUAGAGCACCGGACUUUUAAUCCGGGUGUCGCGCGUUCGAAUAAGGAUGUCCGAAAAGACGCCACCGAAAAUCGCGUCGGGCCCA
rnacentral:tRNA from 1 species